rnacentral:tRNA from 1 species
UGGCUUAGACGGUAAAGCAUCUGCCUGCAAUGUGGGAGACCCAGGUUCAAUUCCUGG